GCUCAGAACGAACGCUAGCGGCGCGUAUCAGGCAUGCAAGUCGCACGGCAUCAGCCCUUCGGGGUGUAGGCGAGUGGCGCACGGGUGAGUAACGCGUAGGUCAUCUGCCCUUAGGUCAGGGAUAGCGCUUCGAAAGUUGGAUUAAUACCUGAUAAUAUGGCGACAUCAAAGGAUUUAUUCGCCUAAGGAUGAGCCUGCGUUAGAUUAGCUUGUUGGUGAGGUAAUGGCUCACCAAGGCGACGAUCUAUAGCCGAGUUGAGAGGCUGAUCGGCCACAUUGGAACUGAGACACGGUCCAGACUCCUACGGGAGGCAGCAGCUAAGAAUCUUCCGCAAUGGGCGCAAGCCUGACGGAGCGACGCCGCGUGAACGAUGAAGGCCUUUCGGGUUGUAAAGUUCUUUUAUAAGAGACGAAUGUCUGGUGUAGGCCAGACUGACUGUAUCUUUUGAAUAAGGUCCGGCUAACUACGUGCCAGCAGCCGCGGUAAUACGUAGGGACCAAGCGUUGUUCGGAAUUAUUGGGCGUAAAGGGUACGUAGGCGGCAUGAUAAGUCAGAUGUGAAACCCUCGGGCUCAACCUGAGGCCUGCGUCUGAUACUGUUGUGCUAGAGUUACUGAGAGGAAGACGGAAUUCCUGGUGUAGGGGUGAAAUCUAUAGAUAUCAGGAAGAACACCUAUUGCGAAGGCAGUCUUCUGGCAGCUAACUGACGCUGAUGUACGAAAGUUAGGGUAGCAAACAGGAUUUAGAGACCCUGGUAGUCCUAACCGUAAACGUUGUAUACUAGGUGGUUGAAGUAUUGAUCCUUUGACUGCCGGAGCUAACGCAUUAAGUAUACCGCCUGGGGAGUAUGCCGGCAACGGUGAAACUCAAAGGAAUUGACGGGGGCCCGCACAAGCAGUGGAGCAUGUUGUUUAAUUCGAAGAUACGCGAGAAACCUUACCAGGUCUUGACAUAUACCUGAAUGGUGUGGAAACACAUCCGCCCCUCGGGGCAGGUAUACAGGUGCUGCAUGGUUGUCGUCAGCUCGUGCCGUGAGGUGUUGGGUUAAGUCCCGCAACGAGCGCAACCCUUAUUCUUUGUUGCUGACAGGUUAAGCUGAGCACUCUAAGGAGACUGCCGGUGACAAACCGGAGGAAGGUGGGGACGACGUCAAAUCAUCACGGCCCUUAUGAUCUGGGCUACAAACGUGCUACAAUGGGCGGCACAAAGAGUUGCGAUACCGCGAGGUGGAGCUAAUCUCAAAAAACCGUCCUCAGUUCGGAUUGGAGUCUGAAACCCGACUCUAUGAAGCUGGAAUUGCUAGUAAUCGCACAUCA
rnacentral:rRNA from 1 species